UAGGGAAUCUUCGGCAAUGGGGGCAACCCUGACCGAGCAACGCCGCGUGAGUGAAGAAGGUUUUCGGAUCGUAAAGCUCUGUUGUAAGAGAAGAACGUGUGUGAGAGUGGAAAGUUCACACAGUGACGGUAACUUACCAGAAAGGGACGGCUAACUACGUGCCAGCAGCCGCGGUAAUACGUAGGUCCCGAGCGUUGUCCGGAUUUAUUGGGCGUAAAGCGAGCGCAGGCGGUUUAAUAAGUCUGAAGUUAGGCAGUGGCUUAACCAUUGUUCGCUUUGGAAACUGUUAAACUUGAGUGCAGAAGGGGAGAGUGGAAUUCCAUGUGUAGCGGUGAAAUGCGUAGAUAUAUGGAGGAACACCGGUGGCGAAAGCGGCUCUCUGGUCUGUAACUGACGCUGAGGCUCGAAAGCGUGGGGAGCAAACAGG
rnacentral:rRNA from 1 species